AUUGAACGCUGGCGGCAGGCCUAACACAUGCAAGUCGAGCGGAUGAGUGGAGCUUGCUCCAUGAUUCAGCGGCGGACGGGUGAGUAAUGCCUAGGAAUCUGCCUGGUAGUGGGGGACAACGUUUCGAAAGGAACGCUAAUACCGCAUACGUCCUACGGGAGAAAGUGGGGGAUCUUCGGACCUCACGCUAACAGAUGAGCCUAGGUCGGAUUAGCUAGUUGGUGAGGUAAAGGCUCACCAAGGCGACGAUCCGUAACUGGUCUGAGAGGAUGAUCAGUCACACUGGAACUGAGACACGGUCCAGACUCCUACGGGAGGCAGCAGUGGGGAAUAUUGGACAAUGGGCGAAAGCCUGAUCCAGCCAUGCCGCGUGUGUGAAGAAGGUCUUCGGAUUGUAAAGCACUUUAAGUUGGGAGGAAGGGCAGUAAGUUAAUACCUUGCUGUUUUGACGUUACCAACAGAAUAAACACCGGCUAACUUCGUGCCAGCCGCCGCAGUAAGAC
rnacentral:rRNA from 1 species